rnacentral:rRNA from 1 species
UGGGGAAUAUUGGACAAUGGGGGCAACCCUGAUCCAGCCAUGCCGCGUGAGUGAUGAAGGCCUUCGGGUUGUAAAGCUCUUUUGGCGGGGACGAUGAUGACGGUACCCGCAGAAUAAGCCCCGGCUAACUUCGUGCCAGCAGCCGCGGUAAGACGAAGGGGGCUAGCGUUGUUCGGAAUUACUGGGCGUAAAGCGAGUGUAGGCGGUUGCCGUAGUCAGGUGUGAAAGCCUUGAGCUCAACUCAAGAAAUGCACUUGAUACUGGGUGACUAGAGGACCGGAGAGGAUAGUGGAAUUCCCAGUGUAGUGGUGAAAUACGUAGAGAUUGGGAAGAACACCAGUGGCGAAGGCGGCUAUCUGGACGGUUACUGACGCUAAGACUCGAAAGCGUGGGGAGCAAACAGGAUUAGAUACCCUGGUAGUCCACGCCGUAAACGAUGGGUGCUAGACGUUGGCGAGCUUGCUCGUCAGUGUCGCAGCUAACGCGUUAAGCACCCCGCCUAGGGAGUACGGCCGCAA